rnacentral:rRNA from 1 species
UGCAGAAUCCCGUGAACCAUCGAGUCUUUGAACGCAAGUUGCGCCCGAAGCCAUUAGGCCGAGGGCACGUCUGCCUGGGUGUCACAG